rnacentral:rRNA from 1 species
AAAACAACUCUCGGCAACGGAUAUCUCGGCUCUUGCAUCGAUGAAGAACGUAGCGAAAUGCGAUACUUGGUGUGAAUUGCAGAAUCCCGUGAACCAUCGAGUCUUUGAACGCAAGUUGCGCCCGAAGCCUUCAGGCAUAGGGCACGUCUGCCUGAGCGUCACGC